GAUGAACGCUAGCGGCAGGCUUAACACAUGCAAGUCGAGGGGCAGCGCGGGAUAGCAAUAUCCUGGCGGCGACCGGCGGAAGGGUGCGUAACGCGUGAGCGACAUGCCCGUUGCCCGGGGACAACCGGUGGAAACGCCGACUAAUCCCCGAUGGGAUAUUGUGCCGCAUGGCACGAUAUUGAAAGUUACGGCGGCGACGGAUUGGCUCGCGUCCGAUUAGCUUGUUGGCGGGGUAACGGCCCACCAAGGCUGCGAUCGGUAGGGGUUCUGAGAGGAAGGCCCCCCAGAAUGGGACUGAGACACGGCCCAUACUCCUACGGGAGGCAGCAGUGAGGAAUAUUGGUCAAGGGGCGGAAGCCUGAACCAGCCAUGCCGAGUGCGGGAAGGAGGCCCUAUGGGCUGUGAACCGCUUUUGCCUGGGGGCAAUAAGGGCGUCGCGCACGUCCGAUGAGAGUACCAGGCGAAUAAGCAUCGGCUAACUCCGUG
rnacentral:rRNA from 1 species